AUUGAACGCCGGCGGCAUGCUUUACACAUGCAAGUCGAACGGCAGCGCGGGCUUCGGCCUGGCGGCGAGUGGCGAACGGGUGAGUAAUGCAUCGGAACGUGCCCAGUAGUGGGGGAUAGCCCGGCGAAAGCCGGAUUAAUACCGCAUACGACCUGAGGGUGAAAGCGGGGGACCGAAAGGCCUCGCGCUAUUGGAGCGGCCGAUGUCGGAUUAGCUAGUUGGUGGGGUAAAGGCUUACCAAGGCGACGAUCCGUAGCUGGUCUGAGAGGACGACCAGCCACACUGGGACUGAGACACGGCCCAGACUCCUACGGGAGGCAGCAGUGGGGAAUUUUGGACAAUGGGGGCAACCCUGAUCCAGCCAUGCCGCGUGCGGGAAGAAGGCCUUCGGGUUGUAAACCGCUUUUGCUCGGGAAGAAAUCCUCUGGGCUAAUACCCCGGGGGGAUGACGGUACCGGAAGAAUAAGCACCGGCUAACUACGUG
rnacentral:rRNA from 1 species